rnacentral:rRNA from 1 species
UUAGAUCAAGAUCAAUCGGCUUCGGUCGUUCCUUGAUGACUCUGAAUAACUCAGCAGAUCGCACGGUCUAGUGCCGGCGACAUUUCCUUCGAGUGUCUACCUUAUCAACUGUCGAUGGUAGUUUAUGUGACUACCAUGGUGGUAACGGGUAACGGAGAAUCAGGGUUUGACUCCGGAGAGGGAGCCUGAGAAACGGCUACCACUUCCAAGGAAGGCAGCAGGCA